rnacentral:rRNA from 1 species
UACGGAGGGUGCAAGCGUUAUCCGGAUUCACUGGGUUUAAAGGGUGCGUAGGUGGAUUGGUAAGUCAGUGGUGAAAUCUCCGGGCUUAACCCGGAAACUGCCAUUGAUACUAUCAGUCUUGAAUACCGUGGAGGUCAGUAGAAUAUGUCAUGUAGCGGUGAAAUGCUUAGAUAUGACAUAGAAUACCAAUUGCGAAGGCAGCUGGCUACACGAAUAUUGACACUCAGGCACGAAAGCGUGGGGAGUCAAACAGGA